UACGUAGGGGGCAAGCGUUGUCCAGAUUCAUUGGGCGUAAAGAGCGUGUAGGCGGCCAGGUAGGUCGGUUGUGAAAACUGGAGGCUCAACCUUCAGAGGUCGACCGAAACCAUCUGGCCAGAGACGGCGGAGAGGAGAGUGGAAUUCCUGGUGUAGCGGUGAAAUGCGCAGAUAUCAGGAGGAACACCGGUGGCGAAGGCGGAUCUCUGGGCCUUACCUGACGCUCAGGCGCGAAAGCUAGGGGAGCGAACAGG
rnacentral:rRNA from 1 species